GUUUCUUCUGCUUCGCAAGAAGUAGUUGAAACUGAGUGGCGAACGGGUGAGUAACACGUGGGUGACCUACCUUCGAGUGGGGGAUAACGUCCCGAAAGGGACGCUAAUACCGCAUGACAUCCUGCCUUUGAACAGGCGGAGAUCAAAGCUGGGGAUCGCAAGACCCGGCGCUUGAUGAGGGGCCCGCGUCCGAUUAGCUAGUUGGUGAGGUAAUGGCUCACCAAGGCGACGAUCGGUAUCCGGCCUGAGAGGGCGGACGGACACACUGGGACUGAGACACGGCCCAGACUCCUACGGGAGGCAGCAGUGGGGAAUUGUUCACAAUGGGCGCAAGCCUGAUGACGCAACGCCGCGUGGAGGAUGAAGGUCUUCGGAUUGUAAACUCCUGUUGCCAGGGACGAAUGGCUCCGACCUAAUACGUCGGAGUGUGACGGUACCUGGUGAGGAAGCCCCGGCUAACUCUGUGCCAGCAGCCGCGGUAAUACAGAGGGGGCAAGCGUUGUUCGGAAUUACUGGGCGUAAAGGGCGCGUAGGCGGCCUGCUAAGUCGAACGUGAAAUCCCCGGGCUCAACCCGGGAACUGCGUCCGAUACUGGUAGGCUUGAAUCCGGGAGAGGGAUGUGGAAUUCCAGGUGUAGCGGUGAAAUGCGUAGAUAUCUGGAGGAACACCGGUGGCGAAGGCGGCAUCCUGGACCGGUAUUGACGCUGAGGCGCGAAAGCUAGGGGAGCAAACGGGAUUAGAUACCCCGGUAGUCCUAGCCCUAAACGAUGAAUGCUUGGUGUGGCGGGUAUCGA
rnacentral:rRNA from 1 species